rnacentral:rRNA from 1 species
AUUGAACGCCGGCGGCAUGCCUUACACAUGCAAGUCGAACGGUAACGCGGGGCAACCUGGCGACGAGUGGCGAACGGGUGAGUAAAGCAUCGGAACGUGCCCAGUAGUGGGGGAUAGCCCGGCGAAAGCCGGAUUAAUACCGCAUACGACCUAUGGGUGAAAGGGGGGGAUCGCAAGACCUCUCGCUAUUGGAGCGGCCGAUGUCAGAUUAGGUAGUUGGUGGGGUAAAGGCCUACCAAGCCGACGAUCUGUAGCUGGUCUGAGAGGACGACCAGCCACACUGGGACUGAGACACGGCCCAGACUCCUACGGGAGGCAGCAGUGGGGAAUUUUGGACAAUGGGCGCAAGCCUGAUCCAGCCAUGCCGCGCGCGGGAAGAAGGCCUUCGGGUUGUAAACCGCUUUUGUCAGGGAAGAAAUCCUUUGGGUUAAUACCUCGGGGGGAUGACGGUACCUGAAGAAUAAGCACCGGCUAACUACGUGCCAGCCGCCGCAGUAA